AAAUAGUUUUCUGUUUUAAUAACUUUUAUGAAAUCAAAAAAAAAUAUUAAAAAAAUACAAAUAUGUAUGAACAUGAUAAAGGGAAAGAACUAUGAUAUUCAAGAGAGAUAACUAACAAUAAGCAAAAUUAGCUAAUUGAAUCUUUAAAAAACAACUACUUACUGUAUAUUAUUAAAAAGGGUAGCAAAGGUUAGAAAAGAUAUCUUCACUAAUAUUUGACUAAUUGGAAAAAAUCAAAAUAAAUCCCACCCUUAAUGGAACUCAAAUCAUUUUAGUUGAUCUACAAGCCAUUAUAAUACCCAGCUGUGUGAUUCCAAAUUAAAUCUUAUGAUAUUAAAUAAAUAUGAGACUGGUGUUUUUGUGCAAAAUAAGAAAUGACAUAACUGGCCAAAUAUGAGAAUAUACCAAAAGUCAAUAGAAGACAACAAAAUAGUAUAAAUAAUAUUAAUGCAAACAAUAAAAUCUUUUUACUAAAAUAUAAAAAUAAAACUAAUAUUGGAAGAUUGUUUAAAGAAUUACCCUGUAUAAACAUGGUAGAAAUUCUCAAGCAAAUAUUGAGGAGUGACGAAAACUCUGCUUAAAGGGGAGGGGGGGGGGGGGGGGAAA